UACGGGGGGGGCAAGCGUUGUUCGGAAUUACUGGGCGUAAAGGGCUCGUAGGCGGCCAACUAAGUCAGACGUGAAAUCCCUCGGCUUAACCGGGGAACUGCGUCUGAUACUGGAUGGCUAGAGGUUGGGAGAGGGAUGCGGAAUUCCAGGUGUAGCGGUGAAAUGCGCAGAUAUCAGGAGGAACACCGAUGGCGAAGGCAGGUCUCUGGGCAUUAACUGACGCUGAGGAGCGAAAGCGUGGGGAGCGAACAGG
rnacentral:rRNA from 1 species